GGACCCGCACAAGCGGUGGAGUAUGUGGCUUAAUUCGAUGCAACGCGAAGAACCUUACCAAGGCUUGACAUGCAUUUCUAAUCGCGUGAAAGCGCGUGACCCUUCGGGGGACUUGCACAGGUGCUGCAUGGCCGUCGUCAGCUCGUGUCGUGAGAUGUUGGGUUAAGUCCCGCAACGAGCGCAACCCUUGUGAUUAGUUGCCAGCACGUUAAGGUGGGAACUCUAGUCAGACUGCCCAGAUCAACUGGGAGGAAGGUGGGGACGACGUCAGGUCAGUAUGGCCCUUACGCCUUGGGCUGCACACGUACUACAAUGCCCGGCACAAUGAGAACCGAUACCGCGAGGUGGAGGAAAUCUAAGAAAACCGGGCCCAGUUCGGAUUGGAGGCUGCAACCCGCCUCCAUGAAGUCGGAAUCGCUAGUAAUGGCGCAUCAGCUACGGCGCCGUGAAUACGUUCCCGGGUCUU
rnacentral:rRNA from 1 species